CCUACGGGGGGCUGCAGUGGGGAAUAUUGGACAAUGGGGGCAACCCUGAUCCAGCCAUGCCGCGUGUGUGAAGAAGGCCCUCGGGUUGUAAAGCACUUUCAGUGAGGAAGAACGCCUGGUGGUUAAUACCCAUCAGGAAAGACAUCACUCACAGAAGAAGCACCGGCUAACUCCGUGCCAGCAGCCGCGGUAAUACGGAGGGUGCGAGCGUUAAUCGGAAUUACUGGGCGUAAAGCGCGCGUAGGUGGCUUGAUAAGCCGGUUGUGAAAGCCCCGGGCUCAACCUGGGAACGGCAUCCGGAACUGUCAAGCUAGAGUGCAGGAGAGGAAGGUAGAAUUCCCGGUGUAGCGGUGAAAUGCGUAGAGAUCGGGAGGAAUACCAGUGGCGAAGGCGGCCUUCUGGACUGACACUAACACUGAGGUGCGAAAGCGUGGGUAGCAAACAGGAUUAGAUACCCCGGUAGUC
rnacentral:rRNA from 1 species